CAGACCUCUAAUCGGAAAAGACUACCCGCCGAGUUUAAGCAUAUCACUAAGCGGAGGACAAGAAACUAACCAGGAUUUCCCUAGUAACGGCGAGCGAACCGGGAAAGAGCCCAGCUUGAAAAUCGGGGCGUUUUGCGCCCCGAAUUGUAGUCUGGAGAAGGUCCCUCUGCGACGCGCCGGACCCAAGUUCCCUGGAAAGGGA
rnacentral:rRNA from 1 species